AUCGGUAAAUAUUUUUGUGUAUUAAAAUAAAAUAAUAAAUAAUGAAAUAAGAUGUUGGUUUUUUACAAAGUAUAUUUGCUAUUUAUUGCCAGUACCGUAUUCAUUAGCCAAUUUCAGGCCAUAAAAUGUAACAAGACAGUGCCGGCGAUAUGCAAUGAUGAAAUAAGUUGUGACCCAACCAAUCUGCCAGUGCCACUGGAAUGUGCAGUAUAAGAUUCGU
rnacentral:lncRNA from 1 species